GAUGAACGCUGGCGGCGUGCCUAACACAUGCAAGUCGAGCGUGAACUCUCGGAACGAAACUUCGGUCUAGGGAAGAGGGGGAAAGCGGCGGACGGGUGAGUAACGCGUAGGUAACCUGCCCCAUACGUAGGGAUAGCCUAGGGAAACCUGGAUUAAUACCUAAUAAUGCGAAGAGAUCACAUGGUCCCUUCGCCAAAGAUUCAUCGGUAUGGGAUGGACCUGCGUCUGAUUAGCUAGUUGGUGGGGUAACGGCCUACCAAGGCGACGAUCAGUAGCCGACCUGAGAGGGUAAUCGGCCACAUUGGAACUGAGACACGGUCAAAACUCCUACGGGAGGCAGCAGUGGGGAAUAUUGCACAAUGGGCGCAAGCCUGAUGCAGCAACGCCGCGUGAGUGAAGAAGGUCUUCGGAUCGUAAAACUCUGUCCUUAGGGAAGAAACAAAUGACGGUACCUAAGGAGGAAGCCCCGGCUAACUACGUGCCAGCAGCCGCGGUAACAC
rnacentral:rRNA from 1 species